UACGAAGGGUGCAAACGUUGCUCGGAAUUAUUGGGCGUAAAGCGCACGUAGGCGGCUUAGCAAGUCGGAAGUGAAAUCCCUCGGCUCAACCAAGGAAGUGCUUUCGAAACUGCUGAGCUUGAGUACUUAAGAGGAUCGCGGAAUUCCCGGUGUAGAGGUGAAAUUCGUAGAUAUCGGGAGGAACACCAGUGGCGAAGGCGGCGAUCUGGGAAGAUACUGACGCUGAGGUGCGAAAGCGUGGGGAGCAACAGG
rnacentral:rRNA from 1 species